rnacentral:rRNA from 1 species
CAGCAGCCGCGGUAAUACGGAGGGGGCUAGCGUUGCUCGGAAUGACUGGGCGUAAAGGGCGCGUAGGCGGCGGCCAAAGUCAGGCGUGAAAUUCCCGGGCUCAACCUGGGGGCUGCGUUUGAUACUUGGUUGCUUGAGUGGGGAAGAGGGUCGUGGAAUUCCCAGUGUAGAGGUGGAAUUCGUAGAUAUUGGGAAGAACACCGGUGGCGAAGGCGGCGACCUGGUCCUUUACUGACGCUGAGGCGCGAAAGCGUGGGGAGCAAACAGGAUUAGAUACCCCUGUAGUCCCUGUCUCUUAUAC